GACGAACGCUGGCGGCGUGCUUAACACAUGCAAGUCGAACGGAAAGGCCCUGCUUUUGUGGGGUGCUCGAGUGGCGAACGGGUGAGUAACACGUGAGUAACCUGCCCUUGACUUUGGGAUAACUUCAGGAAACUGGGGCUAAUACCGGAUAGGAGCUCCUGCUGCAUGGUGGGGGUUGGAAAGUUUCGGCGGUUGGGGAUGGACUCGCGGCUUAUCAGCUUGUUGGUGGGGUAGUGGCUUACCAAGGCUUUGACGGGUAGCCGGCCUGAGAGGGUGACCGGCCACAUUGGGCCUGAGAUACGGCCCAGACUCCUACGUGAGGCAGCAGUGGGGAAUAUUGUCCAAUGGGCGGAAGCCUGAUGCAGCAACGCCGCGUGCGGGAUGACGGCCUUCGGGUUGUAAACCGCUUUCGCCUGUGACGAAGCGUGAGUGACGGUAAUGGGUAAAGAAGCACCGGCUAACUACGUG
rnacentral:rRNA from 1 species